GCCCUCGUGGCGAAAUUGGCAGACGCGCAGGAUUUAGGAUCCUGUCCCGUUUAGGGGUAGAGGUUCAAAUCCUCUCGAGGGCA
rnacentral:tRNA from 4 species